AAACAUUGCUAGGGGCGCAUUUCGCUGAGAUUGUAUCUUCAGAUACUAACCCUCACUACUUGAACCGGAUAAUACCGGCGUAAGGAAGCAACGAGACAUCUUU
rnacentral:ncRNA from 2 species